GAUCGUAAAUCUGUGGUGAGGCAUGAUUGUACAGUCGCUGUUUUCCGGCCUAGCCUACCUUGUAGGGUUGUUGCAAGGAUGAAAUGGGAACGGUGGGCGGGGGAAAGAGGUCCUUCGUGGACUGCCUUGGAGGAAAAGCAGCAUAUAAAUAAAAGAAAGGAAUCAAUCUGGCGGGUCUUCGGUGCAAUCUACGACGGCGCCUCUUCUGGUUUGGUAAGAGUAAGGGCGGGUUACUUAAAGGCUCACCCUUCUUGCCACUGCCAAAUAAGCGCCCCUCGACGAUCUCGCGGUUCCUACAGCUUCGAGUGAGCCCACAAGGAACGGGGAGAAUUAUUACAGACACUAGCUCCAUUAUAACCCAACCUCGGUCACUUUCUCCCCGCCAUAGCAACUGGUUGGUUGCGCGGGAGGAGCCCGGGAAGAGCGCAAGGUGGGGAUCCAAACGGCGACUUACCAUGUCGCUUCCUUCCCUCAGCCGCGGGUCCCCGCCCCGAACGGCGGGAAUGCGAGUUUAAGAGAAAAAAGAAGCGCCAAGGAGCCGGCGCUCCGCCUCCUGGCAGACUAGCACCAUCUGAUGCCUCUAAACUGCAUCGCGCCCCGCCGGACUCGGAAAGACUACGUCAGCGCCGCCUCGCGUCCCCUCUCAGUCUUCCUUGCUCCACCCUACAGAGAUAGGAAAAGAGAAACAUGAGAGCUCACGCAAGCAAAGACACUUCCGGUGAACGUUAAAUGCCCACUCUGGUAAUCUGUUUCCUAUUCCUAAAAUGGACGUCGCUCCAGCUAGCUCUUGUCAUCUCAGUGGUUAAAGUGGGAAAUCGAACUGUUUUAAGGACUGUCGUGUCUGACUUUCGUUGUAUUUGUAUUUAUUUACUCUACAGUCCUAGGUACCCUCACAUCAGACCGGUUGAUCGAUGGAAAAAGAAAACUGAAACAAAGAACCACAGCAAGAUGAAAGAGCAACACAUACUUUCAGUAGAGAUUAAAAGUUUUGGAAAAGAAAAGGCACCCAGUGUAGCUGCGCCUUCUGUACACUUUUCUAUUUCUAUGCUCCGUCCUCCUCACCCCCAGCUUCUUCCGGUUCCUCGUAACAAAUCCUUCCAACCAUGCAAAGGAGAAAGGUUCGAAGUCGCAUGUCGGCCCCGACUUCCCGUUUUAUUUGGGAUCUCUCUCCCGCACCGUCUGCCUGAAUUAUGCCUGGUGCGUAACGCUCGUCUGCAUUCCCCUGAGCGCGGGCUUUAAAGAAGGGGACGGCGGAGAUGCCAAUUUAAGGAGCUGCCGCUUUGCUGCAGUGCAAAGCGAGAGAUUUUGCUUUGGGAUCUUUUUGCUGUCUGAUGGCCAACAUGACUGUGUAUCGAUCUUAUGUAACUGUAUUUUCUUCUAAUUUCUGAUUGUGAACUGCUCUGGGUUCUAAUUUCUGAUUGUGAACUGCUCAUAUGAAAGACGGUAUGCAAUAUCUUAAACAAAUAAAUUUUAGGCAGGCACAAGGACACUGUUAGCAGAUUAUUGUCUGUUACUGUUAUUAUGCUGCUGGUUACAUCUUCAGUAAUGGCCCACAAUUCAACUUGAAACAUGAAUAUAAUCAUCGCUAUGAACUUACUUUACAGAGUUCUAAAGUGCUCUGUCUCACCCACCCAUAGGUGAAGAUAAUAAUACUGAACUACACUGCAAGGUUGUGGAAAGGCACUCUCAGACCCCCGUCCAUCUGUAAUAUGCAGUUGUGCGCUAUAUUUCCAUUUAUUUGCAUUUAUAGUGCAAUUCUUUUAAUUUUUAAAUUACUAUUUUAAAACUCUCAUUUAAACAUCACACACAACAUCUAUUUGGAGAAGUAUGAACUAUUUCUACCUUUUUGGAAGGUGGCGAGGUGAAAGAGACCUGCUUUCAUUUAAUAGCUACGACUAAGUCCUACAAUUGUCUAUUAUUUCCUAAAUCCAGUUGUUAUUCACUCUCCCUCUGGUAAGGGUACAUGGCAUUAGUAGUCACUAAUAAAGACUCCUCCAGUUUGGUGGUGGUGGUGGGUUCCAGGUGUAUUCUGAAACACAUCAUUGACACAAUAAUAGUGUAUUAGUGGUGGAUUUCUAUGGGAUCAUCGACACAUCAUUCUGCUUUAUUAUGAGAUGUUUCCCAGUGUGGAGGGUCAUUCUUCUGCUACAGCACAACAAAAGCAAGAUUUAAAAAACCCCAACAACACCUGAACAUUUGUGGUACCAAAAAGCUACAGGAUUUCAGCCAGAAGUUAUAGGAUGUGCACUGAUUGGAAAUGAAGCAGUGUGUCCACCCCAAAGCUUUGCACGCAGAAAUACAAAUCAUCAUGAAUGCAUAAUAAAAGGGGACAUUUUUUCUGCAGGCAAAGUAGCCAUUGAUCUAGCAUGUUUUCAUAUCGUUGGUCACAAGUAAUUUUAUUCCAUAAUCUACAAACCUGCUUCCAAGCAUAUUGACAUAAAGCAUCCUUAUAGCCUUUGCUCCUGCCCUAAAAUGGUGAUUGUGGAGACAGACUAAGAUAUUACAUGCAGUGCUAGUAAAAGACAAAUUGGUCAAACUGAAUCAAAUAAUAAUUGCAUUUUUUUUAUAAAAAAACCCUGAGAGAACUGAGCAGACAACAUAUAGGGAAAGACAACCUGGAUCAAACAACAGUUCUCCACAUUUCCACACCUUUGUGUAGAUUUUUUUAAGUCCUCAUAAAUUCAUCAGCAUUUUAGUGAUUUUGCUUAAUACAUAUAUGCAUUUUUGCCCAAUAUAUACAUUUUAUCAGAACAUAUUUUCUCUAAUAUAAUGUACCUUUUGUGUUAUUUUCACUAAUAUAUGCAUUGUUAUGUACACUUUGCCUUUGUCUAUGCAUUUUUGCACACAUUCCUUGGCUGCACAAAUGAAUUGUAAAAUUCAAAGGAAUGCAAAAUUCAUAGGAUUGCCUGUUUGGUUUGCAUGUUGUAUUAGAAAGGCCAAAUUGGGUAGAUUUGCCUUUAAAUGUGACCUGAAUUGAAUUUCUGCCCCAUCCCUAGCUGAGAGAGAGACAAGCUUACUUAGGGCCAUCUAGCAAAUUCUUGGCAGAAAGCAAGAUUCAAACUGAAAGCUUCUGGUGAAGUACAAGGAGUUUUUUAACCACUAUAUGAACUCACACAGAAGAUGAAAGUUUGACAGGCACAGCUUCUCUCAUGCAGAACUGAGAACAAAUUGUAUCUGCAGUACUCUGGUAUGCCCUGAGUGUAACCCCACAUGUAGGAUUUUUGCCGGCAAAGAUGAUAAAACACAGCUACUUCUUGCAAUUUGAGAACAUUCUCAGUUGAUAUAAAGUAUAGAAAUGGUUGAGCAGGAGGAUAUUACAAGAGAUACUGGUGACAUUGUGGAGAUGGACACAUUGCGCAAACAGCAAUAGCUUUCUCCAGGCCACUACACCUGCCCAAAGGAUUUACAAUAUACUGAAUAUUUGUAUUAAAAUGAGACAGUCCGAAUAAUUUAGAGCACAGCAUCCAUUGCAUUUGCUGCAGCCAGUACCAGAGCAAAUCUUAUUCAAAAUGUUCUUUGCUGUAACGGAUUGUGGAUCUCCUUUGUUUUAAUUAGAUUUUACUUUUGCUCUCUAGGAGAGAAAACACGUUUAUGCAGGUGACUUGCUGUUAAAUAACUGCUACAAGUGCUUGUAAAUUUGUUUUUAGCAUUUACAAAACGUUUUGCUAAUCUUCCUUUUGUAAAAGCCUAUGGCUGCUAGCUAUAAAACUGAACUGGCUAAUAUAUACAUGCGACUUUAAAUAUUGUCACAGCUGCUGUGGAACCAAUCUGAUUUCUUGCAAUGUUAAUAGUCCCAGGGCAGGUCACAACAAUAUAAAAUACUUUAUUAAAAACCAUUUAAAACAA